UCGAGAAUUUUUCACAAUGGGCGAAAGCCUGAUGGAGCGACGCCGCGUGGGGGAUGAAGGGCUUCGGCCCGUAAACCCCUGUCAUUUGCGAACAAACCUUUCCGCUGAACAUGCGGAGAGCUGAUUGUAGCGAAAGAGGAAGGGACGGCUAACUCUGUGCCAGCAGCCGCGGUAAUACAGAGGUCCCAAGCGUUGUUCGGAUUCACUGGGCGUAAAGGGUGCGUAGGUGGUCGGGUAAGUCUGGUGUGAAAUCUCCGAGCUCAACUCGGAAAUGGCAUUGGAUACUAUUCGGCUGGAGGGUUGGAGGGGGGACUGGAAUUCUUGGUGUAGCAGUGAAAUGCGUAGAUAUCAAGAGGAACACCAGUGGCGAAGGCGAGUCCCUGGACAACUCCUGACACUGAGGCACGAAAGCUAGGGGAGCAAACAGG
rnacentral:rRNA from 1 species